rnacentral:misc_RNA from 1 species
AACCAUAGAAACCUGCGGAGUACCUGCGGAAGGAUCAUUACCGAGUUUACAACUCCCAAACCCCUGUGAACAUACCACUUGUUGCCUCGGCGGAUCAGCCCGCUCCCGGUAAAACGGGACGGCCCGCCAGAGGACCCCUAAACUCUGUUUCUAUAUGUAACUUCUGAGUAAAACCAUAAAUAAAUCAAAACUUUCAGCAAUGGAUCU